rnacentral:lncRNA from 1 species
UAGUUUCCCCACUGCGUUUAAGCCUUUUGAAUCGAACCAUUAUUUCAUCGAAAAAAUUGGAGUGUUACAAAAUGUAGCUUAUAAACGGCAACAGUUGGCUCCUUUAAAUGAUAUAUAUAUAUUUGUUUUUUGAUAAAUAUUAUCGGCUGAUCCGGUCGACUUUGAAAAGAACGCACUUAGUGCUACAAAGUGGACUAACUACGACACUGUCUGGCCCAAUUACUAUCUUAUUAUAUGUACCAAGAAUUGAAUAAUAAGGAACAGAAAAUCAAUAGAAAAUGAGAACUGAGGGAUAAAAUGUAAAUCGAAAUUCGAAAGAAAAGACAAAUGUUAAAAAGAUGGGUUAAGGAAGAUGUCGUGUGGGACUCAAUUUAUCUCAUUUCUAGUUAUGAUCAUACCAUCACGUGCUUCUCCCACCUCUCCUCGCCUUUUGUUUGGUAAUUCGAAUUGUGUCAUGAAAUAAAGGAUAUGGAUCAUUAUUUCAGCGAGUUUAAAUCAUAUAUUUAGUUAUUUUAAUGGUUAUAUACUUAUAUGAUACCUUUCAAUAAACAUCAGUAUAUCAUUCUAGCCAGAAAGAGAUUCGCAGUGUUAAUACUCGAGUUUGGCGAAUCUUGUGAUGCUCAUGUAUCUUCUCACCCCAUAAAAAUCUGAUCAUCCAAUUUUAAAAUCAUUGGAGAUGAUCCAAGUGCUGUUACCAUGUAUAUAUAAUAAUGAUUAAAUUCAAAUUACUUAUAUAUUGCAGCGUAAGAAGAACAUAUGGUGUCGCAUGAUAGAAUAUAUAUAUAUAUAUCAAAAAAAAAUUAAAAGAUGUGGUACGUA